AACCGUCCCGGGCGCCAGUCGGUCCCUUGCGCUAGAAAGUGUAGGGCGGAUCAGGAGACGGAGGCGGAGAAGUUGUCACAUUUUUCCCUUUUUUCCCUCCUUCCCCGCCUUUGGGAGAGCCAUGGCGCGGCGGAGAGACUACUCAUACAUCAGCCCGUGUGUGAAGUGGACGCUCUUCUUCUUCAACUUCAUCUUCUGGCUGCUGGGUCUGCUGCUGGUUGCUAUUGGUCUAUAUGGCGUCGUCUUCACAGCCCAGGAGAUCAAUGGCCUCAAGUCCGUGGAGGUUGCGUAUAUCGUCCUCACCGACCUGUCCGGGGUCAUGGUUGCGCUGGGCACCAUCAUCUUCAUUGUGUCCUUCGCUGGCUGUGUCGGAGCCCUGAGGGAGAACCUGUGUCUGCUGAAGCUGUACUUCUGGAGCCUCACGAUCUUCCUCAUCGCUGAGUUGAUGUUCGCCAUUGCCUGCAUCAUUUUCCCGUGGAAGUCGCGCGAGAUCAUCGAGAGCGUUCUGUCCAAGAGGCUUAUCGAGGACUACAGGGAAAGCCAGAACACUCAGAACUUUGUGGACUUUCUACAGCGACAGUUCGAGUGCUGCGGCAUCACCAAUGAGGGAUACCAAGACUGGAAUUCCAACGAGUACUUUAACUGCUCCCAGGAAAGUCCCAGCGCUGAAAAGUGUGGUGUGCCGGCCUCCUGCUGUAUUAAGCCUUGGAACAUGUCAACCUACAACUCAAUGUGUGGAUAUGGGAUACAGGAGAAGAAGCGUCACGAGGUUUCCGAGACCAUCAACCCCGGCGGCUGCGUCACCUCCAUCAUCCACUUCCUGGAGUCCAACCUGUACUGGGCGGCUGGCGUCAUCUUCGGCAUCACCCUCUUCCAGAUGUACGUGACCCACCAGGCCCGUUCCCUAAUGGACCAAAUCACCUUGCAGCGCGCCCGAUGGUACUAACAAACAAACAAACACACGCACAUACGAACAUAGAUAUGGGGCUGAUGUUGACGCUUGUGAUAUUUGACGCCACCUACCCCCCCCCUCCCCCCCCCCCCGGCCACCCCUGCUUGUAGUCGUGUGUGUGUGUGUGUGUUCGUGUGUUGGUGUGUGUGUGUGUUUUGUGGGUGGGUUAACGCCGCGUACGAACGGACGAACAAACGUAGAGAGAGUGUUUGGGUUGAUGAUGAUGUCGAUGUUGAUGUUGAUUUCUUGCUUGUUUUGUUUUUCCAGUUUGUUUUUUCUUAAUUUUCUUUCUCUAAUUUUCUCUAUUUUUCUGUUUUUUUUUCUCUUUCUCUGCUUCCUCAUUUUUUCUGUUUUACUCAAUUUUUUCCUAAUUUUUUCUGUUUUCCUCAAUUUUUUCCUCAUUUUUUCUGUUUUCCUCAAUUUUUUCCUCAUUUUUUCUGUUUUCCUCAAUUUUUUCCUCAUUUUUUCUGUUUUCCUCAAUUUUUUCCUCAUUUUUUCUGUUUUCCUCAAUUUUUUCCUCAUUUUUUCUGUUUUCCUCAAUUUUUUCCUCAUUUUUUCUGUUUUACUCAAUUUUUUCCUCAAAUUUUUCUGUUUUCCUCAAUUUUUUCCUCAUUUUUUCUGUUUUACUCAAUUUUUUCCUCAAAUUUUUCUGUUUUCCUCAAUUUUUUCCACAAUUUUUUCCUCAAUUUUUGUUUUACUCAAUUUUUUCCUCAAUUUUUUCUGUUUUCCUCAAUUUUUUCCACAAUUUUUUCCUCAUUUUUUCUGUUUUACUCAAUUUUUUCCUCAAAUUUUUCUGUUUUCCUCAAUUUUUUCCACAAUUUUUUCCUCACUUUUUUCUGCUUUUUCUUCAUAUGUUUUGUUUUUCUUCAACUGCAACUUUCCCUUUAGUGUUUUUUCUAGUGUUUUUUUUUUUUUUUUUUUAAUCUGUAUUUGUAUGACUUAUAUUUUUAGUGUUUUGUUUUGAUUUCUUGUUUUAUUUCCAUUUUCUUGGAUGCUUUAAAAACUAUUAAUUCUUAGUAAUUUUAUAUAUUGUGUGCGCGUUUGUGUGCGUAUGUGUACUGUAACUCCCUUCCGUGUGCGCAUAUUUGUAUAUGUGUGUGCGUUUACUCCCUUCUAUGUGCGUAUGCGUUUUUAUCUCCUGUGUGCGUAUUUGUGGGAGUGUGCGUUUACUCCCUUCUAUGUGUGCGUAUGUAUGUGUGUGUAGUCAGAUUUCCACAACCAGGGACCAGCAAACACGUACACAUGUAAACCUCCGUUGUAUGUGUGCACGCCAUUACCAUGUACGUUUUUUAAUGGGGGCUUGUGUAUGUAUAUGUAUGUAUGUUUUUAUUGUGCUAGAGUAUGUGCGCGUAAACCUCUCAUGUACGCUUUUUAUAUGGGCUAGUGUGUGCGCGCGUGUGUGUGUGUGUGUACGUAUAUGAAACUGUGUGUGUGUAUGUGUCUAUGUGUAUCCAUGUAAGUGUUUUAUAUUGUGCUAGUAUGUGUGUAUGUAUGUGUAUGUGUGUGUGUGUGUGUGUGUGUGUUUUAACUACUGGUAACCUAAUUUUAUGAAUCGCAAUUUUUCUACUAACUUACCUAUUUCCUAUUAUGUGUAUUUUUGUGUAUUUCUCAUAAUAGGAGUUGACCCUUGACCUAAUGGGCUAAUGGGGGGAAGGAUGUCGGUGGUUAGUGAGUGGUCUGAUGCUAAUUGGUUCACGGAUACUGAUAAGUCAAUUUCCGUCAGGGUUAUUUAUUCACAAAAAAUACAAACAGGUCAUUAUGACAAACACAACACAUAGAAAGGGUGUUUGUGUGUGUGUAUGCGUGUAUAUGAAUGUUGCGUAGUGUAGAUGACAUUUAAGUGUUGGUGUAUGUGUGUGGAACGAUAUGUAAAAGUGGACUGUAGAAGGACAAGGAUAGAAUGUGAAAGAUUAGCAAGUAACAAAGACAAACUCAACACAUAGAAAAGGUGUUUGUGUGUGUGUAUGCGUGUAUAUGAAUGUUGCGUAGUGUAGAUGACAUUUAAGUGUUGGUGUAUGUGUGUGGAACAAUAUGUAAAAGGGGACUGUAGAAGGACAAGGAUAGACACUGAAAGAUUAGCAAGUAACAAAGACAAACUCAACACAUAGAAAGGGUGUUUGUGUGUGUGUAUGCGUGUAUAUGAAUGUUGCGUAGUGUAGAUGACAUAUAAGUGUUGGUAUAUGUGUGUGGUACAAUAUGUAAAAGGGGACUGUUGAAGGACAAGGAUAGACAGUGAAAGAUUAUCAAGUAACAAAGACAAACACAACACAUAGAAAGGGUGUUUGUGUGUGUGUAUGCGUGUAUAUGAAUGUUGCGUAGUGUAGAUGACAUUUAAGUGUUGGUGUUUGUGUGUGGAACAGUAUGUAAAAGGGGACUGUAGAAGGACGAGGAUAAACAGUAGAAGAUUAGCAAGUAACAAAGACAAACUCAACACAUAGAAAAGGUGUUUGUGUGUGGAACAGUAUGUAAAAGUGGACUGUAGAAGGACAAGGAUAGACAGUAGAAGAUUAGCAAAUAACAUGAAAGACAAACUCAACACAUAGAGGGUGUUUGUGUGUGUAUGUGCGUAUAUGAAUGUUGUGUAGUGUAGAUGACAUUCACAAAAAACACAAACAGGUCAUUGAGACAAACACAACACAUAGAAAAGGUGUUUGUGUGUGUGUGUGUGCGUGUAUAUGUGUUGGCUAAUAGGGAGGAGAUAAUGGGUAAAAUUGGGCUUUGGAAGGAGGAGGAGGAGGAGAAAGAAAGAGAGAGAGAGAGAGAGAGAGAGAGAGAGAGAGAGUAUAACAUAAUAAAUAUAUAGAAUUCCACCCAUUAAUUCCAAGCAUAUUAGGUCAAGGGUCAAAUGCAAUUCCUAAGAUUCCUGAUUCCAAGUUUGAUUCCCGUUCGAUAUAA